rnacentral:lncRNA from 1 species
AUGCAGAGGAGACCCCGGGGUUUCCCUAGUAACAGGUGGGAGCUGACGGCGCCGGGGCUUCCCCAGCGGCUCUCCCCGCACGCCGGCGGCGGGGCCGGGGCUGCCCAGCCUGGCAAGGUCGGGGCACGCAGCCUCCUCCCCCCUACGGGGCACGCUAGGCGAGGAGCUGCCCCCGGCCCGCAGCGGGAAGAUUUGUGCCUGAAGAUUGAAAAGCUGCGUCCUUUGCACUGUGCAGACUGUUACAGCAGGAAAGACUAUGGAAUGCCUUUCAGGAUGUGGGAUAACUAUGUGGAUGUGGACUCUGCUAUGAAGACAGAAGUAUUUUACUACAAGGAAAUGAUAUUCUGAGGAGGAAUGUAAACUUGUCUGGAAUUUGAGUAGAUUAUGCCAAUAUCUGCGUAUUGCCCUCUUGCUUCCCUUCAUGUUUCACCAGUCAUACUGUAGCUGUUCAAAAUGCUGUCUGUAAGUAAUAUUGUUAUCUGUAGCCAAAGGUUGGAAAAAAAAAAUAUAAAAAAAAAAUCAUUUUGGAAUUUUAUUGUUUGCUCACCAGGAAAGCAACAUGAAGACAGAAAAGAAAGUUUUACCAGAUCAUGUAAAGAAAUGGAAUUCUGAUUAUUUUCCCUACUAAAUAUGAUAAAAGAUAGAAAUUUCUGCAUAUUAUCUGAACAUCAACACCUGCAAUACUUUGAAUCCUACAGUCUUAAAAUAUUAAAAAGGAAUCACAAUAUAGAAUAUAACUUUGAUGAUUAUACAUAGA